rnacentral:hammerhead_ribozyme from 1 species
AUCCAGCUAACGAGUUCCAAAUAGGACGAAACGCGCAUCAAACCGGAU